CUCUCCUGCGCCCUCUGGAGGAAGUGAGAAGAGUCAGUCCCACCCAGCUGCCGCCUGGUAUCUGGGCUCCAGGCCACCGGAGUAUUUGGCCCCCAGCCACUGAGCCCUUAGCACACACCUCCCCCACAGGUCCUGGAGAUGUGGCUGAGCUACCUGCAGCCGUGGCGGUACGCGCCUGACAAGCAGGCUCCGGGCAGCGACUCCCAGCCCCGGUGUGUGUCGGAGAAAUGGGCGCCCUUUGUCCAGGAGAACCUGCUGAUGUACACCAAGUUGUUUGUGGGCUUCCUGAACCGCGCGCUCCGCACAGACCUGGUCAGCCCCAAGCACGCGCUCAUGGUGUUCCGAGUGGCCAAAGUCUUUGCCCAGCCCAACCUGGCUGAGAUGAUUCAGAAAGGUGAGCAGCUAUUCCUGGAGCCAGAGCUGGUCAUCCCCCACCGCCAGCACCGACUCUUCACGGCCCCCACAUUCACUGGGAGCUUCCUGUCACCCUGGCCACCAGCGGUCACUGAUGCCUCCUUCAAGGUGAAGAGCCACGUCUACAGCCUGGAGGGCCAGGACUGCAAGUACACCCCGAUGUUUGGGCCCGAGGCCCGCACCCUGGUCCUGCGCCUCGCUCAGCUCAUCACACAGGCCAAACACACAGCCAAGUCCAUCUCCGACCAGUGUGCGGAGAGCCCGGCUGGCCACUCCUUCCUCUCAUGGCUGGGCUUUAGCUCCAUGGACACCAACGGCUCCUACACAGCCAACGACCUGGACGAGAUGGGGCAAGACAGCGUCCGGAAGACAGAUGAAUACCUGGAGAAGGCCCUGGAGUACCUGCGCCAGAUAUUCCGGCUCAGCGAAGCGCAGCUUAGGCAGUUCACACUCGCCUUGGGCACCACCCAGGAUGAGAAUGGAAAAAAGCAGCUGCUUGACUGCAUCGUGGGUGAGAACGGACUCAUCCUUACGCCCCUGGGGCGGUACCAGAUCAUCAGUGGGCUGCGAAGGUUUGAAAUUGAGUACCAGGGGGAUCCGGAACUGCAGCCCAUCCAGAGCUAUGAGAUCGCCAGCUUGGUCCGCACACUCUUCAGGCUGUCGUCUGCCAUCAACCACAGAUUUGCAGGACAGAUGGCGGCUCUGUGUUCCCGGGAUGACUUCCUCGGCAGCUUCUGUCGCUACCACCUCACAGAACCUGGGCUGGCCAGCAGGCACCUGCUGAGCCCUGUGGGGCGGAGGCAGGUGGCCGGCCACACCCGCGGCCCCAGGCUCAGCCUGCGCUUCCUGGGCAGUUACCGGACGCUGGUCUCGCUGCUGCUGGCCUUCUUCGUGGCCUCUCUGUUCUGCGUCGGGCCCCUCCCAUGCACGCUGCUGCUCACCCUGGGCUACGUCCUCUACGCCUCUGCCAUGCCACUGCUGACCGAGCAGGGGAAACUGCACCAGCCCUGAAGGUGUCAGCUGCCUUCAGAGCAGGCUGGAGGGAUUUGCCACACAGCCCCACCCUUGGGCUGAGAGGACCUGGGAAGCCCCUCCAGGAGGGAACACGGUCAUCCUCGGGCUUCUGGAGCGGGGUUCCUGCAGCCACAGAGGCAUCUGGAGGAAACGCAACCAAGAAGGGAAGGCAGGUGGGCCCCAGCAAAGGAGUGGCUACCAGGGCUCAACAGCCACGCUCUGUGACAGUGCAGAGCUCAGCGCCGGCCUUUCCCUCCCUCCGCCAAGGACUCAUGCCCAAGCCAGCUCUCGGGGCCUUUUUUCCAGUGCCCAUUUGGCUACUCUGCUGCACCAAGCUUGGGAGCCAGCCUGCCAACACCCGCCUGGGCCUGGCCUCCCCACUGGCUGGCCUUGAGGUGGGCAGAGUGGGUUGUGGCGCCUCCUCUCUCUGUGUGGGACCAGGACGGUGGCUCAAGUCUCCACUCCAGGAAAGAAUCAAAGUUUCUAGAGUUGUGAGAAAACUAGAGAGUGGCUGUCCUGAUUCUUCACCGUGAGGGGCGUUCUUCGUGUUCUCCCAGCUGUUCCAAGACUGGGCCGUAGAAUUCCAUGUUUCAGGAGCCUAAGACCCUCCCAGAGCCCAGGUGCUUCACCACAGACCCCAAGCCAUUAAGCACAUCACCCAAAGCAGUGGCCAACAUCGCGGACCCCUGUGCCUUGUCACAGAUGGGUGCUGGUCCUCAGGCGUUGGGGACACUGCUGGGUCGAUGGGGUCGGAUUCUGCCAGUUUCUGCUCUGCAGCCAAAGAUGGUCAGAAGCAUUGUCACUUCAGUAACAUCAAGUGCUCAAAGACAUGGCAACCGUUCAGUGGUACUUAAGUAUUCAAAAUAUACAACUACAGAUUCUCUGACAGAAACCAGCACGGGGUCUUCACCUUCAUUCACCCCACAGACGACCUGCGAGGGAGAACAGCAUCUCAGUGGUGAUUUCCAAACCAAGCCUUUGUUUUCGGUGUGGGGUUUUGGGGGUUUGCUUUAAUGUUUUUAAAAUUGUAAAUGUUGGGCUUUGUAUUUUGAUGUAAACUGAGAAUAAUGGCAUUUUAGGGCCUGUGACCAAAAAUCAAGCUUGUAACGACCAUGGAUCUGAAUAAACCUGUCCUUGCUUCUG
rnacentral:sRNA from 1 species